AUGCCGCUGGGGAGCCCGCUACCGCCGCCGCUGCCGCCGCCGCUGCCGCUGCCACUGCCGCCGCCCCCGCGACUCAGCUGGCCAGGGCCGCGGCGCCCGCCCCGCACCAUCAUGCCAUCCACCGCGCCGGGCGGGGGGCACGGGGCUGCGGCGGCCGGGGCCCGGGCGGCGCGGGGCGGGCCGGGGGCCCGGAGGACGCCGGAGGCUCUCGGGCGCGCGGGGAGGGGCUGCGGCGUUCGGCCUCCUGGAGGGCUUGCAGGAACCAUGAACCGGGCCGCGCAAACUCACGGGGCGCGCUCCUCGCCGCCGGGCCGCCAGGAAAGUCCCUUCUGCUGGGCCGAGGGUGUGGCCGGGGCUGGCGCGGCCGCGCAGAGUCAGAGUCGGGCGGGAGCCUGCAGUGAUUGCGCACAGCGGCCGGGGGCCCCGCUCGCGCGCUCGCCGCCCGCCACGCCCGGGCCGCCGGGCCGCCCCUUCCCGCCUCGCCUCGCCUCGCCUGGCCUCGCCUGCCUCGCCUCGCCUCGCCUCUCCUCGCCGGCUCACAGCGCGCGGCCCGGCGCCCCGGCGGCACGCCCUCCCCGACCGCGCGCCCCGCGGCCGGCCGCUGGCUGUGGGCGCGAGUCCAUCCCGGUCGCCUGGUCGCCUGGGGCCCGCGGCGGCUCAGCUCUCCCGCGCCCCCGGGCCCUGCGCAUCGGACGCCCGGCGCGCGUCUCCCCCCCCGCCCCGGCCACGCCGACUCAGAAGGUCCCCGCGGCGCGGCGGCCACCCGCCCGGGCCCCGGCUCCUGCCAUUUCCGUCAACCUCCAACUUCCGAGCGCGCCGGGAGAAACUGAAAGGAAGGGCGGGGGCCGAGAGGCGCAGGGGCCGCCGCCCGCUUCCUCUCCCCGCGCGGCCGCUCCGCGCCGCGGGCCGUGGGUGCGCCGGGGCCGCCCGAGCCGCCUCCUCCCCGUGUCCGCGCCUCGCCCCCGGGCUCGCCGCCGCCGCCCGGCCGUCACCUCCCCGGAGCCUAUAGAAAUCUUUUGUGUGGCGUCACCGCCUUUCGUUUAAAUCCCGCUUCCUCCUCUCGCCCUUCCCCCGCCCUCUCCGCCGCUCCCGGAUGCUUGCGCGAUGCGCUGCUCCUCCCCCGGGAAGCUGGGUGGCUGCGGGAGGACGCCGCCGCCCUGCGCGGACGCGGCGGGCGCCGGGCCGGGGGUCCCGCGGGGCGGGGGGCGCGGCCUGGGGGCCCCCGGGCGCCGCGGGGCUCCGCGCGUCCUCCCCGCCCGGCGAGCGGGUCUCCGAGGGGACUGCUUUGGCGCCGAAGGGAGGAGGACGCCGCGCGCCAUCCCCUGGUGGCCCGCGGGGGCCGGCCCGCGCGUCUAGCGGGGCCCCGGCGGCUCUUGCCAGCCCUCGCCCUGCCCUUUGUUGUGCGCAGCCCUCCUUCCGCGGUUGGGGGGGACCCUGCAGGGCUGUGCGGGGCGCUGAGGGCACUGGCUGUGCAGUCGGAAGGGCAGGCUGCGGGGGGCGGGGGGCGCCCUCCCUGUGUGCUCGGACUUCCUGGGGCCGGUCUUUUCUGCAGCCAUCCGGGAGCUGUGUUGACCUUGUGCAAGUCCUCCCCCCAAGGGUCCGUCCUCUCCCCAAAUCAGAGAGUGCGCACCGACUGCUGGACCACUUGGCUCCUAAAACAGAGCCGGUAGAACUAGGAGCCUCGACCUGCGCGGUGGGCGCCCUCACAACUUCUGUGUCCAACGCUCGGCGAUGGAAUAAUAGUGGCCACUGUCAAAGAAGAGGAAUAACAGACAGCCUUAGGAGGUAAACCUUGUUGGCCGGUCCUGCCCAGAAGGAGCCCACCCGCUGAUGCCUCCGGCGUCUUCCCAAGGGCAGGAGGAGAGCUAAUGACCGGGUGAGGAGCCCCCUCCCAGCCUCGGAUCCGUCGACCCAGACCUCGCUCUUCAGGAAGUGGUUGAAGCACCUGGGCUUCCUCCCAGCCGGGGACCCACCCCUUGGUUCCGAAACAGGCCCUCCAGGUGCCCAGCCCGGCCUCAGCUGGGUGUGUCUGCCAAUCGAACCGCCAGUUCCUCUGUCCCAGGGACCCAAGGUCACCUUUUGGUUCAGUCAGCCAAUUAGUCUUACUUAUAACUCAGAUGACCUUACAAUUUAUCGUCCAAACUGAAACUGUACUCAGAG
rnacentral:lncRNA from 1 species